UCCGGCAUCUAAGAAUAGUGGGAAAGGGACCAUAAUUACCUCGAUGGUGGGAUCGGCUCCUAGAAUCCGAUACACCUCCAAAAUCUAGUACUUCAUGCUCUUCUAGAUCUGCAUAAAAAUAAGUAAACUUGUUUAGAGACAGAGAGAGAAGUAGAGAGGCUGAGAGAGAAAGACAAAGGGAGAGUGUGAGAAGAUGGGAUUUAGCCUUAUGCUAAUUAUCCGAGAG
rnacentral:lncRNA from 1 species